UCCUACGGGAGGCAGCAGUCGGGAAUAUUGCGCAAUGGAGGAAACUCUGACGCAGUGACGCCGCGUAUAGGAAGAAGGUUUUAGGAUUGUAAACUAUUUUAGUCAGGGAAGAAAAAUGACUGUACCUGAAGAAUAAGCUCCGGCUAACUACGUGCCAGCAGCCGCGGUAAUACGUAGGGAGCAAGCGUUAUCCGGAAUUAUUGGGUGUAAAGGGUGCGUAGACGGGAAAUUAAGUUGGUUGUGAAAUCCCUCGGCUCAACCGAGGAACUGCAACCAAAACUGAUUUUCUUGAGUGCAGGAGAGGAAAGCGGAAUUCCUAGUGUAGCGGUGAAAUGCGUAGAUAUUAGGAGGAACACCAGUGGCGAAGGCGGCUUUCUGGACUGUAACUGACGUUGAGGCACGAAAGUGUGGGGAGCAAACAGGAUUAGAUACCCUGGUAGUCC
rnacentral:rRNA from 1 species